rnacentral:rRNA from 1 species
AGUGAACGCUGGCGGUAGGCCUAACACAUGCAAGUCGAACGGCAGCACAGUAAGAGCUUGCUCUUACGGGUGGCGAGUGGCGGACGGGUGAGGAAUACAUCGGAAUCUACUUUUUCGUGGGGGAUACGUAGGGAAACUUACGCUAAUACCGCAUACGACCUACGGGUGAAAGCAGGGGAUCUUCGGACCUUGCGCGAUUGAAUGAGCCGAUGUCGGAUUAGCUAGUUGGGGGGGUAAAGGCCCACCAAGGCGACGAUCCGUAGCUGGUCUGAGAGGAUGAUCAGCCACACUGGAACUGAGACACGGUCCAGACUCCUACGGGAGGCAGCAGUGGGGAAUAUUGGACAAUGGGCGCAAGCCUGAUCCAGCCAUACCGCGUGGGUGAAGAAGGCCUUCGGGUUGUAAAGCCCUUUUGUUGGGAAAGAAAAGCAGCAGGUUAAUACCCCGCUGUUCUGACGGUACCCAAAGAAUAAGCACCGGCUAACUUCGUG